rnacentral:rRNA from 1 species
AAUAGAUACCCGGGUAGUCCACGCCGUAAACGAUGAGUGCUAAGUGUUAGAGGGUUUCCGCCCUUUAGUGCUGCAGCUAACGCAUUAAGCACUCCGCCUGGGGAGUACGGUCGCAAGACUGAAACUCAAAGGAAUUGACGGGGGCCCGCACAAGCGGUGGAGCAUGUGGUUUAAUUCGAAGCAACGCGAAGAACCUUACCAGGUCUUGACAUCCUCUGACAACUCUAGAGAUAGAGCGUUCCCCUUCGGGGGACAGAGUGACAGGUGGUGCAUGGUUGUCGUCAGCUCGUGUCGUGAGAUGUUGGGUUAAGUCCCGCAACGAGCGCAACCCUUGAUCUUAGUCGCCAGCAUUAAGUUGGGCACUCUAAGGUGACUGCCGGUGACAAACCGGAGGAAGGUGGGGAUGACGUCAAAUCAUCAUGCCCCUUAUGACCUGGGCUACACACGUGCUACAAUGGAUGGUACAAAGGGCUGCAAGACCGCGAGGUCAAGCCAAUCCCAUAAAACCAUUCUCAGUUCGGA